rnacentral:rRNA from 1 species
AGCAUAUCAAUAAGCGGAGGAAAAGAAACCAACAGGGAUUGCCUCAGUAGCGGCGAGUGAAGCGGCAAGAGCUCAGAUUUGAAAUCUCACCUAGUGUGCGAGUUGUAAAUUGCAGGUUGGAGUCUCGGGUUAGACGUGUGUGCAAGUCCCUUGGAACAGGGUGCCACUGAGGGUGAGAGCCCCGUAUCGUGCAUGUCGACACCUGUGAGGCCCUUCUGACGAGUCGAGUUGUUUGGGAAUGCAGCUCUAAGUGGGUGGUAAAUUCCAUCUAAGGCUAAAUAUUGGCGAGAGACCGAUAGCGAACAAGUACUGUGAAGGAAAGAUGAAAAGCACUUUGAAAAGAGAGUGAAACAGCACGUGAAAUUGUUGAAAGGGAAGGGUAUUGGGCUCGACAUGGGAUUUACGCAUCGUUGCCUCUCGUGGGCGGCGCUCUGGGUUUUUCCUGGGCCAGCAUCGGUUUUCGUUGCAGGAUAAGGACAAUUGGAAUGUGGCUCCUCGGAGUGUUAUAGCCUUUUGUAGAUGCUGCGUAUGGGGACCGAGGGCUGCGGCGGACUCGUUUCGUCUCGGAUGCUGGCACAACGGCGCAAUACCGCCCGUCUUGAAACAUGGACCAAGGAGUC